UGAGCAGAGCAGGGAUCUAAAAUUGCCCAAGUCAGAGGCGGACAAACACGAUUUGCUCAAGGUGAUUCGAAAGCAGCGGGGCUCCAUGCUCUCACUCUUCCCCAGUUCUGCUGCCAUCCGCAAGGAUUCACUCGGUAACUGAAGAGUUAAAGAUUGUUUAUAUCAUAGAAGUAAAUUUAUUAAAAUUCCCCACAUCAUAAGGACUUCAGGGCCACCCUGUGUAGUAUUAAGUGACUGAUUACAAGUCUAUAGAACGCUGCAAGGAUGGACAGAGCUGCCUCCGGAAAGGAUUUCUCGAGCUGAGACCAGAAGGUCCCUUCAGGCUUCUGCCUGUCUGGUAUCGUUCCCCUGUUGUUUCACGUGGGGGUGCUCUUUGAGAAAGAUCCAUAACAGCAGGAACCUGAACAUCCAACAGUGUUUGAAAAGUGGCGGUCCAGAGGACCAAGUGAGCAGAGGACCCUGGAGUCAAGCGAAGCAUCAGUGCCGGGAAAACGGAUGGUCCCCAGCCACUAUAAUUCUUUCAUGAUGGUCCUAAAGAGGAAGAUGAUGAAGAAAACGAUGGCAGUUGAUUUGUGGUUGGAAAGAAUAUACAAUAUGCAUGUC